CCUACGGGUGGCAGCAGUGGGGAAUAUUGCACAAUGGGGGAAACCCUGAUGCAGCGACGCCGCGUGAGUGAAGAAGUAAUUCGUUAUGUUAAGCUCUAUCAGCCGGGGAGAAAAUGACGGUACCUGUGUAAGAAGCCCCGGCUAACUACGUGCAAGCAGCCGCGGGAAUACGUAGGGGGCAAGCGUUAUCGGGAUUUACUGGGUGUAAAGGGAGCGUAGACGGCAGUGCAAGUCUGGAGUGAAAGUCGGGGGCUCAACCCCCGGACUGCUCUGGAAACUGUACGGCUGGAGUGCAGGAGAGGUAAGUGGAAUGCGUAGUGUAGCGGUGAAAUGCGUAGAUAUUAGGCGGAACACCAGUGGCGAAGGCGGCUUACUGGACUGUAACUGACGUUGAGGCACGAAAGCGUGGGGAGCAAACAGGAUUAGAUACCCCAGUAGUC
rnacentral:rRNA from 1 species